GAAAAAAUAGAAAUCCUUAAACCUAGAACUCUAUAAGUAUGUACGUGCUCAAGAGCCUGCCUGGAUUUCCUCAGUCUUGAUGCAUGUACCUCAAGGGAUGUCAGGUGGGGGAUCUGGCAGAGAACCCAUGGGUAAGUAGAGAGUGUGGAGUUCUAGAAGAAGCUUAAAGUCCCUGAAAAAGCUAAGACAGCAAGAGAAGGAGAACAUGGAAUAUUUUAACCAGUUGUGUAUGGACUUCCUAUUCAGACAUAAGCUGUCCUUAAUUUGAACCAGAGAAAGAAUAAUAGUAUUUAUGUUGUAGACUCUGAAUGUGUUUUCUGGGGAGACCUUGUGGCUACAAGUUAAAGACCUGUUGGAGAUAAUGGAAGACAACUUACCUUUAAUUGGUCAAGAGAGAUUCCGAGGGAGCAGAGGGAUGAAGUUUUCCACAGACUGACUGGAGCCAACUGUGGAGACAGAGAUUCUAAGCUGAAUGAAGUGGGAACCUAGUGAUACCUAGGCACUCAGACCAAUGGAAUCUACAGAAGAAAGGAUCUUUCUCUACUGGAACAACAAAUAUGGUUUGUGAAUCGGUUUUGAAUCUUGGACAGACCUGAGGGUUGAAGCAGUUCACCAGCAUCUUUCAGUGUUUCAUCUGACUAGGUGCCAACAGCACAGUACCUCCAGGAACUAAGAACCUUCCGGUGUCUAGUCAUUACCUGAUGACAUCUGAUGAGGUUGUGCACUCCUGGUAAGCAAUAAACAAACCUUCUAUGUGGACAAAGAUUCAUAUUGUGAUUGGGAAUGGAAGACUGUGAACACUCUUUAUUUUCUAGUUUCAAAUUUAUGAGGACAACCAGUUUCCUCAAAUUUCUGUGGGUCCAUCUGGUUCCUCCUGAGUGCUGAGGUGAGAGUGGCACUAGGCCACUUUAGCAAUGCCCAUUGACAGUUGAAUGUUUGCUGAAUGUGCCACUUUAAUGGAAGACUGUGGAUAUUCUCUUUCCAGGCCAAGGGAUGGAAAUGGAUGUGGGAUGUCAGCGUGCACCUUUUUAAAUAUGAGAAACAUGUGAAACCAAGUAUACAGAGACCAAAUUUCCUUAGGUCCUCAUUUAGACACAUAAUUUU